GUGAGGAAUAUUGCGCAAUGGAGGCAACUCUGACGCAGCCAUGCCGCGUGCAGGAAGAAGGCGCUACGCGUUGUAAACUGCUUUUAACCGGGAAGAAACCCCAGGACGUGUCCUGGGUUGACGGUACCGGAGGAAUAAGCACCGGCUAACUUCGUGCCAGCAGCCGCGGUAAUACGAAGGGUGCAAGGGUUAUCCGGAUUCAUUGGGUUUAAAGGGUGCGUAGGCGGAGCGUUAAGUCAGGGGUGAAAUCCUGCAGCUUAACUGUAGACUUGCCAUUGAUACUGGCGCUCUUGAGUGCGCUUGAAGUGGGCGGAAUGUGCCGUGUAGCGGUGAAAUGCUUAGAUAUGGCACAGAACACCAAUUGCGAAGGCAGCUCACUAAGGCGAUACUGACGCUGAGGCACGAAAGCGUGGGGAUCGAACAGGAUUAGAAACCCUGGUAGUCC
rnacentral:rRNA from 1 species